GGAGGUUUGACUAAAGUGGUAGAGUAUCAGCUUUGCAAUCUCAAAAUCCUGAGUUCAAAUCUCAGUACAACCC
rnacentral:tRNA from 1 species